rnacentral:lncRNA from 1 species
CUGGGUCCAUGUGCACGCACCUGACCACUAACCAACUAUUUCCUCAACAGUGAUUCUACUUUCACUGUUCAAUCUACCGGAACAAUCUGCAAAACGCUCGAUCUCACAAGAGUUCCACGAACAUCGCGACUAGACUCUCGCAAUCAGCAACUCGCAUUGCUUUGAAACUUAGUUCGUCAUCACCAUUUCUAUCGCGAAUCUCACCUCUUAUCCACAGGCUAUCACCAGCGAUUUGCUAGUGCUCUCAAACUCUCUACCUGCUCCAGCAGGUAUUACAUUCCCACACACAAGCAUACCCGGGCAUCAACGCUUAUCCGUUCACUUGAUCACUACUAUAUUAAGGCAUAAAUAGUAGGGACAGAUCACCUAAUCAAUGCAUACAAUGCACUAAACUUACAUAAUGCAGAAAACAUGCUUGCUGUAAUUAACUCAUACCUGCCACAUUGCUACCAGUCGCAGCAAGUUUCACCACAUGGGUCGCCUAUCCACGACCACUUGCUGCUCGUCGCGAACCCCUCGGUUGCCUUAUCCUCAGUCGCUCUCUAGACCGUGCCGCAGGUGGCACACCCGCAGGCUGUCCCGGAGAGGAAAAUGCUGUCGCCAGCGUCUGGGCUUGGCUAUCGCCGUGCGAGCACUCAUAACCUGGAUGAUCCGGUUGUCCACAUCGAGUGCACUUUCCUUCCCGUUGCACGCAACGUCGUGCCCAGUGGGAACCACCACAAAUCACACAUCUUGGAGAUGAUCGGGUAGAGGACGAUGUCGAGUGGUGUCCAGAACUUGACUGUUUAUCUGACUUAUUUGUUAGUGGCCUCAUCCCUCCUUGCUUACGUUCCUCAGACUCGUGCUCUUCACGCACGAAAGCAUUGUCUUGCUCUAUCCAUAGGGCCCGAUCCACGACUUCAGCAAAAGUCUGCAACUUAAGAUUAUGCACUACUUUGAAAAUAUCAG